rnacentral:rRNA from 1 species
AUGCGUGAUCAGGUCGGCUUCGACCUGGAUGGCUUCCCCCUCGACCACGAGUUCCCGGACGACUACGGUUAAGAGGAAGAGGACGAGUGCGACAUUGAUGUGGAGCCCUUGUACGAGGACGAGCUCGCCAACCAAGCCGUCGGUCCUAAGCCGAAGCGCAAGAGCAAGCAUACGAAUGCGUACACGGCGGCCGAGGACAAGCUUCUUUGCGAGUGUUGGCGAGACAUUGGACAAGACCCCAAGACGGGCGCCGAGCAAAAGCAUUCAACCUUUUGGAUUCUUGUCCACCGAGAGUUUCAUGAGCGCAAGAAGUUUCCGCCGUACCAAUUUGUGAGCACGCGUGGAUGGGUCUCCAUUUUCAAGUGGUGGAGGGUGAUCUAA